UACGGAGGGAGCUAGCGUUGUUCGGAUAUACUGGGCGUAAAGCGCACGUAGGCGGCGCCGUAAGUCAGGGGUGAAAUCCCGGAGCUCAACUCCGGAACUGCCCCUUGAAACUGCAGUGCUAGAAUCUUGGAGAGGCGAGUGGAAUUCCGAGUGUAGAGGUGAAAUUCGUAGAUAUUCGGAAAGAGCACCAGUGGCGUAAGGGCGACUCGCUGGACAAGUAUUGACGCUGAGGUGCGAAAGCGUGGGGAGCAAAGCGGG
rnacentral:rRNA from 1 species